UAGGGAAUCUUCGUCAAUGGACGAAAGUCUGACCGAGCAACGCCGCGUGAGUGAAGAAGGUUUUCGGAUCGUAAAACUCUGUUGUUAGAGAAGAACAAGGACGUUAGUAACUGAACGUCCCCUGACGGUAUCUAACCAGAAAGCCACGGCUAACUACGUGCCAGCAGCCGCGGUAAUACGUAGGUGGCAAGCGUUGUCCGGAUUUAUUGGGCGUAAAGCGAGCGCAGGCGGUUUCUUAAGUCUGAUGUGAAAGCCCCCGGCUCAACCGGGGAGGGUCAUUGGAAACCGGGAGACUUGAGUGCAGAAGAGGGGAGUGGAAUUCCAUGUGUAGCGGUGAAAUGCGUAGAUAUAUGGAGGAACACCAGUGGCGAAGGCGGCUCUCUGGUCUGUAACUGACGCUGAGGCUCGAAAGCGUGGGGAGCAAACAGG
rnacentral:rRNA from 1 species